rnacentral:lncRNA from 1 species
AAAAUCACACGCGCUAGCAAAAGCAACCUAACAUAACGCUAAGUUACCAACAAUUUGCAAAGCCACCUAAAAGCAAAGUAACAUAAUGCAAGUCACCAACAAUUUGCAAACAAAAAACCCUAAGCUUCCCCAUCGUCACACGCACUAGCAACACCCAAUAUUGAUUCGAUACACUCUCAACACUAAUUUGAAGGACGUCGGCCGCGUGAUUUCGACUAGAGCAAGCCAUCUUCUUCCCCAAGUCCAUCGAGCCACUUCACAAUCACUGGUUCCAGUCGAACAAUUGCACUAUCACAACCUUUAAGAUCACCACCUGUAUGGCUUCUCCUGGUUCCCAUCAUUGACGGCUCCAUAAUCACCACUUUUCGACAGGCACAACAGCCCUGGUGAAGGAUCAGACUAGGGAUGGCAAUUGUACCCGCAAACCCGCCCAAACCCACCCGCCAAAACCCGCCCGUUGCGGGUAAUUUUACCCGUUGCGGGCGGGUUUAGUAUUAUAAAUUAAAACCCGCACAUGGAUGCGGGUGGGUUUGGUAUUAACCUUAUAUCCGGUGGAUACCCACAUGGAUAUCCACCAAACCCGCAAUAUUUUUUUCAAAUAUUUUUAAUUUAAUUUUAAUCU